AGGGGACCUUCGGGCCUUUCGCUAACAGAUGAGCCUGCGUUGGAUUAGCUAGUUGGUGGGGUAAGGGCCCACCAAGGCGACGAUCCAUAGCUGGUCUGAGAGGACGAUCAGCCACACUGGGACUGAGACACGGCCCAGACUCCUACGGGAGGCAGCAGUGGGGAAUAUUGGACAAUGGGCGCAAGCCUGAUCCAGCAAUACCGCGUGUGUGAAGAAGGCCCUAGGGUUGUAAAGCACUUUCAAUUGGGAGGAAAACCCACCGGCCAAUACCCGGUGGCUUGACAUUACCUUUAGAAGAAGCACUGGCUAACUCCGUGCCAGCAGCCGCGGUAAUACGGAGGGUGCGAGCGUUAAUCGGAAUUACUGGGCGUAAAGCGUGCGUAGGCGGCCCGUUAAGUCAGAUGUGAAAGCCCCGGGCUCAACCUGGGAACUGCAUUUGAAACUGGCGGGCUAGAGUUUGGUAGAGGGGAGCGGAAUUUUAGGUGUAGCGAUGAAAUGCGUAGAUAUCUGAAGGAACACCAGUGGCGAA
rnacentral:rRNA from 1 species